AUACGGUGGGUGCAAGCGUUACUCGGAAUCACUGGGCGUAAAGGACGCGUAGGCGGGUUGGUAAGUCAGGUGUGAAAUCCUACAGCUUAGCUGUAGAACUGCACUUGAAACUACCAACCUAGAGUAUGGGAGGGGGAGAUGGAAUUAGUGGUGUAGGGGUAAAAUCCGUAGAUAUCACUAGGAAUACCGAAAGCGAAGGCGAUCUCCUGGAACAUAACUGUCGCUAAGGCGUGAAAGCGUGGGGAGCAAACAGGAUUAGAAACCCGGGUAGUCC
rnacentral:rRNA from 1 species